GUAAAGGUGAGGGGAGAGGGGGUUAGUAGAGGGGAGGUGUGGCACAGGUGAAGGUAAUCUGUUGUUUUUUUAUGAGAGGAAUUUUUGGGUUUAUUUCUAUAUGUAUUUUUAGUUAUUUAUUGAUUGAUUUUAUUGUUUUUGGCAUCCGGUGACAUGAGGGAGGAAGUUAAGGAGAAUAUAAUUGUUGUGAAAUGACGAGAGAAAAACAUAAUUGUCAGCAUGAGGAAACUCUUGGUGUCUUGUUGCUGUUGUUAUUGAAGUUGCAUAGUGCUGGGGGGGGGGCCUUAGCCUGCCUACUUGUGUGUGUGUCUGUGUGGGGGGGAAGGGGGGGGGUAAGGACAUGAAUAAACAGGUAUGGUGUGCGCGUGUGCGUACGUGGCGAGACACACAUACAGAGCUCACUUGACAACACACACACACACACACACACACACACACACACACCUGGUUGAAGAAGUUUAAUCAGGUGUGUGUGUGUGUGUGUGUGUGUGUGUGUCUCCUUGUCCCUGGCGCCCUAUCAGCUGUCUCUUCCCUGCUCGGGCCGUCGAGGAGGUCAUGGGUGACCAGUCAUACGCGUUAUCAGGAAGAUAAUCGCUGACAAACAACAACAUGAUGAGGAGAAGGAACAGGAACAGGAGGAGGAGGAGGAGGAGGGGAAAAGGAGAAUAUCAAGGAAGAAACGAGAGUACAAGAAGUGAUAGCGAGGGAUCAUCUAGAAGGAAAAUAAUAACGAGGGUGACUAAGAAAAGGAAAAAUAUAUCACAAAAACAACAAGAGAGUAGUACAAGAAGUGAUAGGAAGGGAUCGAUUAUAUAGAAUGAAAAUAAUAGAGGAUAACUAAGGAAAAGAAAAUAUCACGAAAACAACAAGAGAGUAGUACAAGAAGUGAUAGGAAGGGAUCGACUAUAUAGAAUGAAAAUAAUAGAGGAUAACUAAGGAAAAGAAAAUAUAUCACGAAAACAACACUUGUCUCCGCUAUAAAGGACUGGGGCCGACCACCAGACCCCACCAAGAAGCCCUAUACCGGUGCCAGUGGAAGAAUGGAGAGGUUAGGAGAGACAAGGUGGAAGUAAGGUGGAGAAAACGAGGUGGUGGGUUUGAUGUGGAAGAAUAGAGAGGUUAGAAUAGACAAGGUGGAAAUAAUUUGAUGUGGAAGAAUAGAGAGGUUAGAACAGACAAGGUGGAAAUAAUUUGAUGUGGAAGAACAGAGAGGUUAGAAUAGACAAGGUGGAAAUAAUUAGAUGUGGAAGAAUAGAGAGGUUACAAUAGACAAGGUGGAAAUAAUUUGAUGUGGAAGAAUAGAGAGGUUAGAAUAGACAAGGUGGAAAUAAUUUGAUGUGGAAGAAUAGAGAGGUUAGGAUAGACAAGGUGGGAAUAAGGUGGAGAAAACGA